AGGACGAACGCUGGCGGCGUGCUUAACACAUGCAAGUCGAGCGGAAAGGCCCUUCGGGGUACUCGAGCGGCGAACGGGUGAGUAACACGUGGGUAACCUGCCCUCCACUCUGGGAUAACUCCGGGAAACCGGGGCUAAUACCGGAUAUGACCAUCUUAGGCAUCUUUGGUGGUGGAAAGUUUUUCGGUGGGGGAUGGACCCGCGGCCUAUCAGCUUGGUUGGUGGGGUGAUGGCCUACCAAGGCGAUGACGGGUAG
rnacentral:rRNA from 1 species